GUGGUUUUCCUCUUCUGUCUGCAGCUCUCGGUUGCUAUCGCAGCCAGCUAGCACCAGACAGGAAGGUUACUUCCUUGUGCAACAGAGCAAGGCUGCUUCAGCUCUUUCCCUGUGAGCGGCUUCUUGUGUCUACGCAGCUUAGUUUCUUGGGGCUUCUGCUUUUGCUAUGGGAGGACGGAGCUGCUAGAAGAAGCUGUCGGCAGCCAAAAUGGAUCCAGAGAGAGACAGCGGUAGUGAAGAAGCAGGCAAACAAUUGGGUAAGGAAAGGGAAAUUAGACUCAGUCUGGCCCAUAACCUUUGAAUGUAAAUGUGAGCAACGGGUCAGCGUUUCUAAAGGGUUUCUUACACAACUGCUAUGCACAGUUAUGGGGAAGUGUCAUAGCUCAGCGGCAGAGCCUCUGCUUUGCAUGCAGAAGGUCUCAGGUUCAAUCCCCGACAUUUCCAGGUUCGGCUAGGAAAGACCCCUUGUUUGAAAUCCUGGAGAAAUGCUGAUGGUCCUGUGUAGACCAUGCUGAGCUAGAUGGACCAAAGGUGUGAUUCAGUAUAUGGCAGCUUCCUAUGACAGGUCAAUUAUUACUCUGAGAUUAAAAUGCAAGAGACCUGGAGGUUUACUUGUUGGUCGGUGCAAUGUUUGACUAGACAAAGCUUGUGUUCUGUCACUUUAAGGCAGUGGUUCUCAACCUAUGGGUCCCCAGAUGUUGUUGGACUACAACUCCCAUCAUCCCUGACCACCGGUCCUGCUAGCUAGGGGUGAUGGGAGUUGUAGUUCAACAACAUCUGGGGACCCACAGGUUGAGAAAGGCUGCUUUAAGCUGCUGUUAGAUAUAUAGUCCGUUACUGGACUACUUCUGCCUAGACUAGCAGUGGCUAAAAUGGGGACUGAGCAAUAAGUGGUAUGGCUCAUAAGUGAGUUGGUUUAGCACAGGCAUCCCCAGACUUGGCUCUCCAGAUGAUUUGGGACCACAACUCCCAUCAUCCCUAGCUAGCAGGACCAGUGGUCCCAAACAUCUGGUUUAGCACAUAGUGGCUAAUUUCCUGGCUAUUUCCAUUCGGUGCAGCAGGUGGCGAUACAUUGCUUAAGAGAGGCAGAGACUUUUUCUCUAGCUGGGGGAGGGCAGAAGGUAGAUCUGAAUCUCCUGGGGCUUCUGCGGGUGAUUGGUAGCAGAGAGAACUUGGGAGAAAGCCAACAGUGGCUUUCUGUGUGAAAGCUGGUACUCAAAAGACAAAUUCUUAGGCCAAGAAUGUGUUGAGAUGUGCUCAGUCACUGAAUAUUGGGUUUUCCUCCCUUCCGAGUUGCUCUUUCGUACCUGAUUGGGGAUCUCAGGGUUCUGUUUUUAAAACAAAGCAAAAAUUGCUUCAAACCCGAAGUCUAACGUAACUCAAGACCGAGGUUUCCUUCCUCUGUGUGUCGCUUAUUCCUGAUGAGCGAUCAGUUGGCAUAUGUAGAAACUGAAAUGGCAAAGGCCUAAUAUCACUGCAGAUGUUUGGGGGAAGGGGGUUUGGCACUGCUUGCUUCUCCUAGUAAUCUGCAGUUCCAGAAAUCACAAAUGAUAAACCUCACCCUCUGUCCCAGAAUGCACCUUGCCCCUUCUGUGUGCAGGCCUGGCCCCCGCUCCAUAUUUUUUUAUGGUGCGUUUAUUGCAUUCCAGCAAUUGCUUUCAAUAUUUUACAGCCUUUUUUGGCCUGAGAAAGUGGAGAUGCCAGAGAUUCCCAUAUUAUUAAAACUCGCAGUUCCAUGUCAUUGGCAAGUCAACAUCAGAAAUCCAGCAUAAUGCAGACACCAAGACCACACAAGCAUGUCCCCAGACACAGUUCUUUUCUUUUCUUUUCUUUUCUUUUCUUUUCUUUUCUUUUCUUUUCUUUUCUUUUCUUUUCUUUUCUUUCUGGAUAUUUUUUGAAUAUUAUAACAAAUAUUGGUAGAAAUCUCAUUCAUCAUGUUAUUUACAAUUAUUCUCCCUCCCCUCCUCUGGACUUCCCUCAACUUCCCCUGGGCUGAGUUAUUUAGUUUUAUUUAUCGUCUCCUGCUUUUGCUACACGAAAAUAAAAUCCCAAAAAUUAAAAAAAAAUGAUUUCUCUGAAAUAUCUGUUACUCAAAUGAAAUUGUGAAAAUUUAUUCAAAUCCUGCCAGUGAAUCCGGUCCAUUCUGUUGUUUCGGCAAAUAAACUGUAAAUGGUUCCCAGACACUUUUGAAGUCCUUUUUCUCCUUCUCUCGUAGUUUAUCUGUUAGCUUAGCCAAUUAUGCAUAGUUCAUCAGCUUUUCUUUUUAAUUUUUUUAAAUUCAAAAUUAAAACAAGACAUAUUAUCCAAAAACAUAUCAUCCUUGUCCCCUCCCCCCAUUUUUCCUCCUUCCCCUCCUCCCACACAGAACCC